UUUGCCACACACAGCUGCUACGUCCAAACCCCAUGUCUGCCAGGCUGGUACAGACUGACAGGCGUGUGCACGGAUCCAGGCAGGAGGAACAUGUUCAGUCAAUCGCUCUGGAACAAACAGUGAUGCCCAAAGGAGCUGUGAAUGACAGAGCCAUCAGCACACCAAAAGGU